rnacentral:rRNA from 1 species
GAAUUCGCCCUUAGAGUUUGAUCCUGGCUCAGGACGAACGCUGGCGGCGUGCCUAACACAUGCAAGUCGAACGGAGAUGUUUAUUUCGGUAGACAUCUUAGUGGCGCACGGGUGAGUAACGCGUGAAUAACCUGACCCGAAGAGGGGGAUAACACCUGGAAACAAGUGCUAAUACCGCAUAAGACCACGGACCGGCAUCGGUCAGAGGUCAAAGGAGGAAUCCGCUUUGGGAGGGGUUCGCGUCCCAUUAGGUAGUUGGUGAGGGUAACGGCCCACCAAGCCGACGAUGGGUAGCCGAGCUGAGAGGCUGAUCGGCCACACUGGAACUGAGACACGGUCCAGACUCCUACGGGAGGCAGCAGUGGGGAAUAUUGGGCAAUCGGCGCAAGCCUGACCCAGCAACGCCGCGUGAGGGAAGAAAGUUUUCGGAUUGUAAACCUCUGUCGCAGGGGACGAAGGAAGUGACGGUACCCUGUAAGAAAGCCCCGGCUAACUAUGUGCCAGCAGCCGCGGUAAUACGUAGGGGGCGAGCGUUGUCCGGAAUUACUGGGCGUAAAGGGAGCGUAGGCGGUCGAUUAAGUUAGAUGUGAAACCCCCGGGCUUAACUUGGGGACUGCAUCUAAUACUGGUUGACUUAGAGUACAGGAGAGGGAAGCGGAAUUCCUAGUGUAGCGGUGAAAUGCGUAGAUAUUAGGAGGAACACCAGUGGCGAAGGCGGCUUUCUGGACUGACACUGACGCUGAGGCUCGAAAGCGUGGGGAGCAAACAGGAAUAGAUACCCUGGUAGUCCACGCUGUAAACGA